CCCGUAAUCCUAAUCCAGUUCCAGCCCUCCUCCCAGUUGAAGAAGCCAUGUAAACGUAGAAAGGAAAAGGGGUAACAGACAUGAGAAAUGUAAGAAAGGCAAAGCAAGCAUGAGCUCUCAGCUCUUAACUUCUCCUCCACCUUUCACCACCCCAACACCAAAGCCCCACUCCCACACUCUUUCCCAAAGAACCCAAAUCCCUCUCCAUGUUUAUAAACACCCAACAGCCAUCCUUUUAGAACUCUCAACUUCCAUCAAAGAAGUCUACCAAAUCCUUCCCCAUAUCAUCAAAUCCAAUCUCUACUCCCAACAUUUAUUCCAAACCAAACUCCUUAGCCUUUUCUGCAAUCACGGCUGCAUUCCUGAAGCCGCCUCUGUUUUUGAACCCAUUGAAGAUAAACUUGACGUUCUUUAUUACACUUUGCUUAAAGGGUAUGCCAAGCACUUAUCAUUAAACCAAGCUUUGUCGUUUUUUGUUAGAAUGAAGGUUGAUAAUGUUAAGCCUGUUGUUUAUAACUUUACUUACUUGUUGAAAGUUUUUGGUGAUAAUGGGGAGCUUAGAAGGGGUAAGGAGAUCCAUGGGCAGCUGAUAAAAUAUGGGUUUUCUUCGAAUGUCUUUGCAAUGACUGGAGUUGUUAAUUUGUACGCAAAAUGUAGACAAAUUGAGGAAGCUUAUAAGAUGUUUGAUAGAAUGCCUGAAAGAGAUUUGGUUUCGUGGAAUACGAUUAUUUCUGGCUUUGCACAAAAUGGUUUGGCUAAACUUGCUUUGGGGUUAGUUGUUAGGAUGCAAGAGGAAGGACAAAGGCCUGAUUCGAUUACGAUAGUUUCGGUUUUGCCUGCUGUGGCCGAUAUGGGAUUGGUUAAAAUAGGAAAGGCAGUUCACGGUUAUGUUAUGAGAGCAGGUUUGGAAGGGCUUGUGAAUAUCAACACUGCAUUGCUUGAUAUGUAUUCGAAAUGUGGGUUUGUUGGUAUUGGGAGGUUGGUUUUUGAUGGGAUGAAACAGAGGACUGCCGUGUCUUGGAAUUCAAUGAUUGAUGGUUAUGUUCAAAGUGGAAAUGCUGAAGAAGCGAUGGUUGUUUUUCAGAAGAUGUUGGAUGAAAGAGUGGAACCGACUGAUGUUACGAUAAUGGGGGCUGCUCAUGCUUGUGCUGAUUUGGGUGAUCUUAAUCGCGGAAUGUUUGUUCAUAAGGUAUCAGAUCGGUUGAAACUUGGUUCCAAUGUUUCUGUUAUGAACUCUUUGAUUUCUAUGUACUCCAAAUGUAAGAGAGUUGACAUCGCUGCAGACAUUUUCAAAAAAUUGCAUGGUAAAACCCUUGUUUCUUGGAAUGCUAUGAUUUUAGGCUUUGCUCAAAAUGGGUGCAGUAAUGAUGCUUUAAACUACUUUUACGAGAUGCAUUCUCGAAAUAUACGACCGGAUACAUUUACGAUGGUGAGUGUGAUUCCUGCUCUGGCGGACUUAUCAGUUACACGCCAGGCAAAGUGGAUUCAUGGAUUUUGUAUAAGAGGUUGUUUGGAUGCUGAUGUUUUUGCGAUGACUGCACUGGUUGACAUGUAUGCAAAAUGUGGAGCAAUUCACACUGCCAGGAAGCUUUUUGAUAUGAUGAAAGAGCGGCAUGUGACUACAUGGAAUGCAAUGAUAGAUGGUUAUGGAACACACGGGCUUGGAAAAGCUGCUUUAGAAUUGUUUAAUGAAAUGCAAAAGGGCUCCAUUAAGCCAAAUGAUGUGACAUUUCUAUGUGUUCUCUCUGCUUGCAGCCACUCAGGUAUGGUGCAAGAGGGGCUCUGCUAUUUUAACAGCAUGAAAAAAGAUUAUGGCAUUGAACCUGCUAUGGACCACUAUGGAGCCAUGGUUGACCUUCUUGGUCGAGCUGGUCGGCUAGAUGAGGCAUGGAAUUUCAUUCAAAAGAUGACUAUUGAGCCAGGGAUUAAUGUUUAUGGUGCCAUGUUGGGUGCUUGCAAAAUUCAUAAAAAUGCUGAGUUAGGAGAGAAGGCAGCAAACAAAUUGUUUGCAUUAAAUCCAGAUGAAGGUGGGUACCACAUACUGCUUGCUAACAUAUAUGCAACAGCUUCAAUGUGGGGUAAAGUGGCUAAAGUUAGAACUUUGAUGAAGAAGAAAGGGCUUCAGAAAACACCUGGCUGCAGUGUAGUGGAGUUGAGGAAUGAAGUUCACAGUUUCUACUCUGGGACCACAAACCAUCCUCAGUCCAAAAAGAUCUAUGCUUUCCUUGAGGAGCUGGGAGAUAAGAUCAAAGCUGCAGGUUCUUUUGCACGGUGCCUACAAGCCCUUGAUUUUUCACUCUUAUUCGAUAAUUACUAGCAGAUGCAGGCAGAAAGUUUUCUAGGUGCUCAAUCUGGUUUAGUCACAUAUUGGCAGACCUAUUACAAAGUUUUGAAGCUGCUAUCAAAAUUGCAGGUUGGGAGUGGGACUGUACUAAGUGCCAUGGAUGCCAAAACAGCCAUUAAUGCUGGACCCAAGUUUCUCAUGAGUCUUGCUACAGCAAAGGUAUAUACUAAGAAUUCUAAGACUGUAUAUGUAUUUAUAUUCAUCUUUUGGAAACUGACAGAGAUCAGUCUUGAAGCUUAUUAAUGUAGAACCCUGGGAGGAAAUAUAGGUUGGAGAUGAAAUUAGAGGGAAAGGGGAUUAAUAUAGAAUAAUUUAGGGAGAAGUAGACAAGUAAUUAUGUAAAUUAUCUAUUGUGAAUUGGGAAUAAGGAUUGAAGAUGUGAUUGAUUAUUCUUUGUUAUUCAGAUGCUGCAUUUUUUACACCAAAUGACAUUGCUUUCCAUUCAUACUAUCCAAAUGGAAUUGUGGAAGUUGUUUUAUAUUUUAAAUUAUUUUUCAUGUUUUUUAAUAUAAAAUAUAAUUUUUUUUUAAAUCUCUCAUAAAAUCAAAUAUGAAAAUUAAAUUUGAGAUAGCAUGAAUAUUGUAAAACGAUUAUCUUUCAUCAUAAAUAGAGUUUUAUUACAAUUUGAGCAAACUUCACUUACCUCUCUUAUGGUUUCAAUAUAAAGUUAGUAUAUUUGUUCACAUUUAAGGGUAUUUUAAAAUUUUACAGAAAAAAACAAACCUAACUGGUUAACUCCUUUUGAAAACCAAGUUAUUUAGUUAAUGUUAAUUGUUAAAUAAAUAUAUCCACAAAAUGUUAAUUAAAAAAAAUUAUAAAAUACCUUAUGAAAAAGGAUUAAAUUAACAAGAGAAAGUUUGAGAAGAGAAGUUACUUAGAAAGUGUUAAUUGUUUAAGAAAAUAUCCAUAAGAUGCUAAUUGGAAAAAAAAAAAAAACCCAACAUUAAAAUAUUUAUUAAAAUUAAUAAAUCAUCCUAACGUUUUAAAAA